UAACCAUGUAUGUACAGGUUACAAACUCCCUUAAAUUUCAAGCUUCAAGAACUGGAUCUGAUUGUUAAGACUAGAUGUGCAGUACCUUCAUCUUAAUGCAGCUAUUGAUUCCAGCAUAGGCCUUAACCCAGCCCCUCUUUUUACAGUUACCAACAACAAUUGGAAGUAAGGAUAUUAGUUUGUUUGGUGAAAUUGGAAUUGAAGUCCAUAUUAGGAAGAAUUGCUCGAAGCUGUGAGGAAUUAAGGAGCAUAUUGAACAAAGGUU